rnacentral:rRNA from 1 species
UACGGAGGGGGCUAGCGUUGUUCGGAAUUACUGGGCGUAAAGCGCACGUAGGCGGCUUUGUAAGUUAGAGGUGAAAGCCCAGGGCUCAACCCUGGAAUUGCCUUUAAGACUGCAUCGCUAGAAUUGUGGAGAGGUAAGUGGAAUUCCGAGUGUAGAGGUGAAAUUCGUAGAUAUUCGCAAGAACACCGGUGGCGAAGGCGGCCAACUGGACCAUCACUGACGCUGAGGCGCGAAAGCGUGGGGAGCGAUCCGG